rnacentral:misc_RNA from 1 species
GAGAGGGUGAAUUUUGACAGCAUCGGAGUGCUCCAAAAACUGAAGUGGUCAAAGAAUGGGGAAGCACUGCGACUCUGCCCUCAACGGUGUCAAGCUCCGAGCGGAGGACACGAUCAAACUAAAGUACCGCUUCGGCGUUGUGGCGAUUUCAACAGUUUUUAAAUUCCAAUUAUCGGUAGAAUGGGGUAUCAUCAGAGGCUGGAGCAGGGGUUGAACAAUGAAAAUGGGAGAGAAUUGAAGGGAGACAAUACUGGUAUGGUUGAUUGAGAGCCUAGGUCGAAGAACGAAACCGGAUCAAUCAAUUCACAUAGCGUCGAUAUCAUUGUGAAAGUUUCUUCCUUUUUCUUUUCAAUUUUCUGUCAAA